AAGUUUUCAGAAAGUGCUAUUAUAGAAGAUUUUAGCGGGGAUAUUUACUUUUAGAUGACUCUAACACACUGAGGUCAGUCUAGAGAAGUUCCGUACCAAUGUUUUACGUCAUAUCAUAUCAUCCUACGUAAUAUUCCCAGUUCAUACAGGAAACAAUGAUUUCAAACAAAACAUACACAGCGUCAUUUCAUCAGAUAUCAUAUCAGGAAGACUUUGAAUUUGAGGAAAUUGGAAUAUAAUUUUGUGAUGCUUUAUCGGCUAUUACAACAAAUAUUCAUUUACUACAGAACCGAAAGGAUUUACCAUCAAACGGACACAGCUCUUGUCAUAUGGCGCUAUUCCAGCGUGGAGGAAGACCCAAGAUCUUCCUACGGGUGUUAUUUCUGACCCGACCAAACUUCCGUAAGCAAACUGUCUGGAAGGUCAAUACUCAACUAGGUAUUGUGAUACCGUUAUCUAUGUAAACUUACAUGUAAUAUUGUGAUACGGCUUCUACAUAAAAAUGG